CUAGCCGUAAACGAUGGAUACUAGGCGUUGUGAGUAUCGACCCUCACAGUGUCGUAGCUAACGCGUUAAGUAUCCCGCCUGGGGAGUACGCGCGCAAGCGUGAAACUCGAAGGAAUUGACGGGGGCCCGCACAAGCGGUGGAGUAUGUGGUUUAAUUCGAUGCAACGCGAAGAACCUUACCAGGACUUGACAUGUCGCGAAUCUCAGGGAAACUUGAGAGUGCCUUCGGGAGCGCGAACACAGGUGGUGC
rnacentral:rRNA from 1 species